GUUCGAUUCUGGCUCAGAUUGAACGCUGGCGGGAUGCUACACAUGCAAGUCGAACGGCAGCACGGACUUCAAGUCUGGUGGCGAGUGGCGAACGGGUGAGUAAUGUAUCGGAACGUACCUAGUAGCGGGGGAUAACUACGCGAAAGCGUAGCUAAUACCGCAUACGCCCUUCGGGGGAAAGCGGGGGACCUUCGGGCCUCGCACUAUUAGAGCGGCCGAUAUCGGAUUAGCUAGUUGGUGGGAGUAACGGCUCACCAAGGCGACGAUCCGUAGCUGGUUUGAGAGGACGACCAGCCA
rnacentral:misc_RNA from 1 species